UUGUAGUUGAUCAUUUAAAAAAUUAACGAGGGAAGUAGCAUCAGUAAAAUAUGAUGUGAGGCAAAUACUGACCUUAGUAGACAUCAUAGUGGACAAAAUUAAUAAAGACACAGAAUGUGAGAGAACACAAAUUUCCUUUGAGGGCGCUGAAAACCGGUUUCCCUUGCAAACCGUAGCUCAGUUAGCGGAAGUUGAGGAGAUCUUGAAAGCGUCAAAUUCCCAACAUAACACUGAAAUACGCGGAUAUAUCAAAUCCAUCGGAGGGACAAGUGUCGAUGAUGCCGUAAAGAGAACAUUGUAUAAAGUAUUCUCCAAUAAAUUGGCGGAGAGAUAUAACUGGGAAGGCCGACGCGGAAAGGAACCACUGCAGAAACUGGAAGUGAUGAAAGUUAUUUUCAGAUCCAUACUUCACAAUAUCCCGGAUUCCGACCAGAGAAAAAUACAACGACGAGUUAUGGAGUGGUUCCGACAUUCCAAGGCGAGGCAUGAAAAUGAGGAGAAGCGGAUGAAUAGACGCGAAGCAAUGUAGCGAGAUCGCAGAGACUGGACCGAUGAAGACCGAUGAAGCCAGUGAUAUGCGCGGACGAAGCCUUUCCCUGUUAGAAUUGUUCCAGGACCUCAAUUGUUAAAAUCGAAAAAUUUUCCUAUGCGAAAGACGCUACGCGAUUCUUCAGAUUGGUAUAUAUUUUUAAAUUUAAAAGUAUAUACCAAUCACACACACACACA